UGACCACUGAGCCGUCUCCCCAGUCUCCUCAUUCUCUCACUUAAGGGACGGUUCUAUUAGGAUUAGAGCUCCCUAGAAAAAUGGGCUCCUUGCAAAUUGGAAUGUGCACUCUGGGCUGAAGGUGCAAGUAUCAGCUGCCAACAGCGUAUGCUUCUCAGUGGUGGGGUUUUGUAACCUAUUUCAAAGCAUCCAGCCCUGACACUUUGUGAGAUGCACCAAAAGAUCUCUGCAGACCAAGGAUACACCCUGUGGCCACUGUCAGUGUGCUCUGGGCAAGUCACUGAGGGGGUAGCCUCACUAAGCUCAACACCUUGGCUCUUCCAGGAGCAGGAGAGAGUGGUAUUAGAAGAAAAAUAACCCAGUGAUUCUGUUGGUUUUGGCCUACACAUUACCAACAGGUUACAGGCGUGUGAGUAGCCACUUCCAGCUUUAGAUAUGAAUUCUGGUGACUCGAACUUAGGUCUUCAUACUUGCACAACAAGCUCCCUUAUUCAUCUGCUUAGCAUGAUAAAUACUUGAUGGUUGAAUUAAGUAUGAUAAUAUUAAUAAAUUAAUUGAAAUUGCA